rnacentral:rRNA from 1 species
CUACGGGAGGCAGCAGUGGGGAAUAUUGCACAAUGGGCGCAAGCCUGAUGCAGCCAUGCCGCGUGUAUGAAGAAGGCCUUCGGGUUGUAAAGUACUUUCAGCGGGGAGGAAGGGAGUAAAGUUAUUACCUUUGCUCAUUGACGUUACCCGCAGAAGAAGCACCGGCUAACUCCGUGCCAGCAGCCGCGGUAAUACGGAGGGUGCAAGCGUUAAUCGGAAUUACUGGGCGUAAAGCGCACGCAGGCGGUUUGUUAAGUCAGAUGUGAAAUCCCCGGGCUCAACCUGGGAACUGCAUCUGAUACUGGCAAGCUUGAGUCUCGUAGAGGGGGGUAGAAUUCCAGGUGUAGCGGUGAUAUGCGUAGAGAUCUGGAGGAAUACCGGUGGCGAAGGCGGCCCCCUGGACGAAGACUGACGCUCAGGUGCGAAAGCGUGGGGAGCAAACAGGAUUAGAUACCCCCGUAGUC